rnacentral:rRNA from 1 species
GAUGAACGCUGGCGGCGUGCCUAAUACAUGCAAGUCGAGCUAACAGACGAGGAGCUUGCUCCUCUGACGUUAGCGGCGGACGGGUGAGUAACACGUGGAUAACCUACCUAUAAGACUGGGAUAACUUCGGGAAACCGGAGCUAAUACCGGAUAAUAUAUUGAACCGCAUGGUUCAAUAGUGAAAGACGGUUUUGCUGUCACUUAUAGAUGGAUCCGCGCCGCAUUAGCUAGUUGGUAAGGUAACGGCUUACCAAGGCGACGAUGCGUAGCCGACCUGAGAGGGUGAUCGGCCACACUGGAACUGAGACACGGUCCAGACUCCUACGGGAGGCAGCAGUAGGGAAUCUUCCGCAAUGGGCGAAAGCCUGACGGAGCAACGCCGCGUGAGUGAUGAAGGUCUUCGGAUCGUAAAACUCUGUUAUUAGGGAAGAACAAAUGUGUAAGUAACUAUGCACGUCUUGACGGUACCUAAUCAGAAAGCCACGGCUAACUACGUG